AUUGAACGCUGGCGGCAUGCCUUACACAUGCAAGUCGAACGGCAGCAUAGGAGCUUGCUCCUGAUGGCGAGUGGCGAACGGGUGAGUAAUAUAUCGGAACGUGCCCUAGAGUGGGGGAUAACUAGUCGAAAGACUAGCUAAUACCGCAUACGAUCUACGGAUGAAAGUGGGGGAUCGCAAGACCUCAUGCUCCUGGAGCGGCCGAUAUCUGAUUAGCUAGUUGGUGGGGUAAAAGCCUACCAAGGCGACGAUCAGUAGCUGGUCUGAGAGGACGACCAGCCACACUGGGACUAAGACACGGCCCAGACUCCUACGGGAGGCGGCAGUGGGGAAUUUUGGACAAUGGGGGCAACCCUGAUCCAGCAAUGCCGCGUGAGUGAAGAAGGCCUUCGGGUUGUAAAGCUCUUUUGUCAGGGAAGAAACGGUAGUAGCUAAUAUCUAUUACUAAUGACGGUACCUGAAGAAUAAGCACCGGCUAACUACGUGCCAGCCGCCGCCGUAC
rnacentral:rRNA from 1 species